UACAGAGGUCUCAAGCGUUGUUCGGAUUCAUUGGGCGUAAAGGGUGCGUAGGUGGCGCUGUAAGUCGGGUGUGAAAUUUCGGAGCUUAACUCCGAAACUGCAUUCGAUACUGCGGUGCUUGAGGACUGGAGAGGAGACUGGAAUUCCUGGUGUAGCGGUGGAAUGCGCAGAUAUCAGGAGGAACACCGGUGGCGAAGGCGGGUCUCUGGGCAGUAACUGACGCUGAGGAGCGAAAGCGUGGGGAGCGAACAGG
rnacentral:rRNA from 1 species